rnacentral:lncRNA from 1 species
AUGCUUAAUAAUAAUAAUAAUAAUAAUAAUAAUAAUAAUAGCCUGCUCCUGAGCAAUACAAAAGCUGGGUCCUGUGGCUUGCGUAAAUUAUGCAAACUGAGCAAUGCUACAUCAUUUUUUAAAAAAACUUUGCAUUCAGGUUUCUCAAGUCACAGGGAAGGGCUGUGGUGGGCCCUGAAUCCCUGUCCGCUGACGAUUUUUAAACCGUCUUCUGAAAUUUCAGUUAACACACACACAAAUCUCCAAUGCCCCUCUCUGCUUCCAUGGGCUGCCCCGUGCAGUUCUCCUCAUCUACCGAAACAAAGGUGGUCACUGUGGACUGGACACCUGUACAAAGCAAUGCCUGCAAAGAAGCUUUUGGGAAGAGUGGAUGAAUCCAGGCAUCAAAGCUUUGGGGCCUAUAGCAGAGUAUUUGACUGGGGCAUUUUAUUGCAAUCUGUUCUUCGAUUGGUUUACUCAAGUGUUUCCCACCACUUCCUUCUCUCUCAAACUUGAUUACUGUGCACUUUGUGAUUGGCAGCUGAAGGUGUGAACUGACACCACUGGAAGACCUGUGUGUUGGAAGUGCAAGCCUGUGGUUUUGCAUCUGUGGUGGUCCAUUCAGACAUACCUGUGAUGGUCCAUUCAUCACUUGGGAAUCAGCCCGUACUCAGGAGCUCAACCCACUUUUAAUAUUGAUUCCUAUGGGCUUUGGCAGCUCAGCUAUGCUGGACUGUGGCCUGUCAGAUUUUGCAUUGUCUCCAGCGAUACCCUUGAUCAGAAUGAACCUCCUGGGGAAGCGGGUGCAUCAGAAUAUUCACCCUGCACAUUGUGAGGAAUGAAUUACAGGAUAAUAUUCUGCAUGAAUGAGAGACCCUCCCCUCCAAUUCUGAUAAAUGGAACAAAUCAGUUGCAAUUCAUGCAAAUAUCUUCUGCACAAAACCCUGCUCAGUUAUAUGCCAGUUUUAUUCUGGACCAGAAUAAUGUUGGAGAUGCGUAUUGGGAAUGUCUGUGUGGCAAUUUCCUGCUUUAGUACUAGCAGAUAUGAUGGGCAAGUUCAGGUAUUACCCUCUAAAUGUGGGAAGACAUUUAAAGCACACCAUUCUCCCUGUGCCGGCAUCUUCUAGGGCAGAGGUGGUGGACCUGUGGCCCUCCAGAUCUUGCUGGACAUCAUCCCUGACCAUGUUUUCCUUGGGCUGUUCAAGUCCAACAACUGGUAAGCCACUGGUUCUUCAUCCCUGAUCUAGGAGGACUUGAUGUGAAGCUGGAGGGAUUCCUUCUGGGUCACACCAUUCCCCAGUCUCCCCAAAAGAAGAGAGUACUUGCACCCUGCUAGGUGCAUCUACCUUCUCCUUACCAGAGAGAGAGCAUCUGUGUCUACUAUUUUCACAGACCUCUCUGGCAGCAGCUGUUUUUGCCUGCAGUUGGAGUGGAAAGAGAGGCAGUAAAGCCCACAGUUGCUUCCACCUGCAUGGCAGGCAUGUGGAUAGCUUUGGGGGAAUUGAAACACAAGGUGCAUGGGUAGAUGAUGAAGCUCAGCAAUGCAACAGAUGCAUAACUGAGCUUCAAACCUAUCUCCAAAGUUCCAGAAGCUGCUAUAGUCCAGAACCUCUUGUGUGCUGUGAUGCCAUCUCAGAGAGAGAGCGCCUUUGAAAGCAAGAUUUCCUUUUCACUUCAGUGGAGGGGCAACCAUCCCUUUAUGUGUGUGUGGUGCUGAAAUCCUUUUGUAGAGCAGAUCUCUCACCAGGGCACCAACCAGAGCUCGUUGCACCAAAGUGAGCAGCUGUCCAUGUCGCAUGACUUCAAAUGUAUCUCCAUAAUCAUAGGGUCUAGAAGGAUGCAUUAUUUAUCAAAACAAAAAACAAAGAGAAAUAAAACAAAGGAAAGCGGAAGGUUGUCAGAAUCUAGGUUCCAGACGCUGUAGAAAAUUCUACACGUACUUGAUCACAGGGAACAAUUAGUUAAGGGCAGGGCAGCCCACAAUGGGGUAUUCGCCCCCUCGAAGCAGGCAGCUGCAAUUAUGGGAUGCCAGGGGGCCUGCAUUGCAGUGAAAUGUCAAGAAGCUGCGAGAGCAUUAUGGUCUGUAAAUGUCCCUUCCACCAGAAAAUGAGCCCAGCCACGAGCCAGCUAACAUAUAACCCAAAUGAGAUCAUCCAGGGGCAAUCAGCCUUAACUUGUUAACAACAGCAACACAAUCAGCGUCCAUUGUUCCCUUUAACAAUCAAGAAGUCUAAUAAGGUGCAAAGUCACAUGGAAAAGGCUUUUGGAAGCAGCCCAGUCUGGGGGUCCCGUGAGUCAAACAGAAUGGCACUAAAUGUACAUAGGUGGGCUUGAACUAAGUGUUGUAGUUCAAAACGUUUGAAGGGCACCAGGUUGGGGGAAGGCUGGGUUAAAUUUUGGAACACCUGCUAGCAUCUUUUCACACAUUACGUUUCUUCGGUGUACCCUGAAGAUGUCUUAAGGACAUACGCUUACAAACACGGGCAUUUUCGAAGUACAUUUGUCAGAAAGCCAUGACCGGCCACGGUUAUGUCACCUGCUGAAUGUACACCUGGCGACAAACCCAGGUUUGCUGUCCUGUCAUGUGUGAAUCAGCCUUUUCCUUCCCCGUGUUUUACUGAUGUGCAUUUUUUAAAAACCCUGCAUGUUGCCAAUAAUUUAAGAAAAAGAAAAUCAACUAAUACUGCUUAAUAAAUACAUAAAAGUAUCUUUUCCGGUCUUUUAAAACAAGAAUCUAGAGCGUCCACAAGAGUUAAGGAUGAUUGUCCCUAGAUUAUCUAAGGCAAAUCUGUUUGACAUGGUAUCCCACCCCCAUUCUUCUUUUUACAUAAAGCAGUCACAUAAAAAUAGUUAUAAAUAGAAAAUUUCCAAAGGAUCUUCCACCCUCCUGACAAUACCCCGUCCCAACAAACAGGAAACAUAACAAAAGCAUGUCCCUUUUGCUUCAAGUUCUUGUAGAUUAUACAGUACUCAGAAUCUUUGGAUAUUUUACAAGGACUCCAAAUCGUAGGACACUCACCCCCCACCCCACCCCCGCAAGCCCUCCCCACACUCAAAUAACCCCUCAAAACCUGAAGGAAGCCAUAAUCUGCAAAACAGUAGCUCAGAAAGACGUCUGUACAUUUAGAAACAAAAAUAGUCUGACGCGGUUCUCGAAAGGUUCUGUUCUCCUUCCCCACAUUGGUGCAAAUAAGAGAAGUCUUUUGGUGGGUUUUAAACAAACGCAGGCAGGUUUUUUUGGGGGGGGUGUGAUUUAAUUUUCAACAGUCUUCCAGUAAGAAAAAAAAGUCUUUGAUCCUUGAAAGGUCCCUUCACCAGAGGGAGCCAAGCAGUGCUGAAGGGGGCCUACGGAGAGAAAAAGAAAAGAAAUUUCAGGUACUGGGAAAUUUGCUUUCAGUAGUCCAUUCUUUAAAGUCAUGGUCCUAUGGUUUUUCUUUCAUUAUUCUUGGAAGGAAGGUUGCACAUAAAAAUGGGGGGGGGGUCACCUUGCCAUGCUCUCUGGUAACCUCCCAGCUAGACUACUGUAAUGCACAGUUUGUGGAGCUGCCCUUACAGACAACCUGGAGGCUUCAAUGAGUGCAGAAACUGCCUGCUGGAAUUUCAACUGAUACAUAUUACACCUAUUCUGAAAGAAUUAACAUUGGCCGCCUGUGUGCUUCCAAGCCCAAUGCGAGGUGCUGGUGCUUUAAAGCCCUAAACAGCUCAGGACCCCAAUGUUUCUUCCCAUAAUAGACUGGCUGUGCCCUAAGAUCUAGCACUCCUCUCCUCUGUUGCGUUGGAGAGACAGUUAUCUAACGCUGCUCCUUCUUCAGUGUUCAUGGAGAUGCAGCCAUUGCAGUCAAGUCACUCACACACAAAACAAAAUGGUGAAUGUAAUAAGAUCCAGUGGUACCUUGGUUCUCAAAUGCCUUGGUUCCCAAACGCCAAAAACCCAAAUGUAAGUGUUCCGGUUUUUGAACAUUUUUCGGAAGCCGGACAUCUGAUGUGGUUGUUGGCUAUUGCUUCCGGGGCGCCUGCACCAAUCAGAAGCUUCACCUUGGUUUAUGAACAUUUCAGAAGUCAAACGGACUUCUGAAAUGGAUUAAGUCUGGCACUUUUGUUUUUGCUAUUUAUUCUGUGUUUUUGUUUUUGAGGGUUUUUCGGUUAAUUUGUUUUUGUGACUGUGUGGAACCUAGUUCAGCUUCUCAUUGACUGAUUGUGUGACUAUGGAAUGGAUAAAAGCCCCAUAUCUUAAGAAUUACUAUCAUCAGUGCAGGUAAGAAAGAAAUAAUAAUUUUAAUUUUUAUCAUCUACAAUACUGUCUUACUUAUUUUGUAGUACUGUACAUUGAUUAUUAAGGGAUGCGGGUGGCGCUGUGGGUUAAACCACAGAGCCUAGGACUUGCCGAUCAGAAGGUUGGCGGUUCAAAUCCCCGUGACGGGGUGAGCUCCCCAUGACUGUCUGUGGACAAAAGCCAGCUCCCUCGGCCUAUAGAGCGAGGUGAGCACCACAACCCCAGAGUCGCCCACGACUGGACCUAAUGGUCAGGGGUACCUUUACCUUUUAACAACCAACCCCUAGCCCCUAUCCUGGACUGGUUGGAUGCAGAGGAAUGGGGGGGGGUACCAGCUGGGCAACCCCCAAGGGAAGAAGGCUCAGAGCCUGAGGUCUGGCGGUGGGUUGAUGAUGAGUAGUCAGAGGGAGAAGGGAUGUGGGUGGCGCUGUGGGUUAAACCACAGAGCCUAGGACCUGCCGAUCAGAAGGUCAGCGGUUCAAAUCCCCGUGACGGGGUGAGCUCCCGUUGCUCGGUCCCUGCUCCUGCCAACCUGGCAGUUCGAAAGCACGUCAAAGUGCAAGUAGAUAAAUAGGCACCGCUCUGGCAGGAAGGUAAACGGCGUUUCCGUGCAUUGCUCUGGUUCGCCAGAAGCGGCUUAGUCAUGCUGGCCACAUGACCCGGAAGCUGUAUGCUGGCUCCCUCAGCCAGUAAAGUGAGAUGAGCACUGCAACCCCAGAGUCAGCCACGACUGGACCUAAUGGUCAGGGGCCCCUUUACCUUUGCUUUCAUUUUAUGGAUCAGUGGUCUCAUUAGAUAGUAAAAAUCAUGUUAAAUUGCUGUUUUAGGGGUUGUUUGUAAAAGUCUGGAAUGGAUUAAUCCGUUUUGCAUUACUUUCUAUGGGAAAGUGCACCUUGGUUUUGGAACGCUUUGGUUUUGGAAUGGACUUCCGGAACGGAUUAAGUUUGAGAACCAAGGUACCACUGUACUUCCCAUGUGUACUGUAUGGGAGAGAAAGAAGUAAAGAGUCAGUAUUGCACAUGAUUUGACUUCUGAAAUUUAGCUCC